GCAUCCCAUGGCCACGAUGGUUUCCCGUUGGCCCCUGAGGGCGACGCGGGAUGAAAAGGGAAUACGGUGAGGUGUAGCCAACAGGCGCCGAAUCCGUGACUGCCCCCGCAACUGUGAGCGGCGAGUGUUUCCGAGAACGCCACUGGGUCCCCCGUGACCCGGGAAGGUUCGGAAAGGCUUCGACCCGUGAGUCAGGAGACCUGCCAUCGUCGAUGUCACUCA
rnacentral:ncRNA from 2 species